UACAGAGGGGGCUAGCGUUGUUCGGAAUUACUGGGCGUAAAGCGCGCGCAGGCGGCCCUUUAAGUCCACUGGUCAAAAGCCGGGGCUCAACCCCGAGCUCGCCAGGGAUACUGGAGGGCUGGAGACACGUAGAGGCAAGCGGAAUUCCGGGUGUAGCGGUGGAAUGCGUAGAGAUCCGGAAGAACACCGGAGGCGAAGGCGGCUUGCUGGGCGUGAUCUGACGCUGAGGCGCGAAAGCGUGGGGAGCGAACAGG
rnacentral:rRNA from 1 species